UGAAUAUCUGUUGAGGUCAAUCUACAACACUGACGUUCUUGUUGGAGACAUAGUGGAGAAAACAAUUGCUCAGCAUGUUGCCAUGGCGACACCGAAGGAUAAAGUGGUGCCUGUAGCCCUCGUUGCCGCGGUGACCAAGUGUACCUUAUCAGAGGCGAAGACCACACUCUCUAGACAGCCGGUCAUACGGACAGCUAUCGUAAAUGCCCUUCAAAAUGUCGGGAAAUGAAUGCAUGAGACACACUGAUAUUUGGUAUAUUAAACACACAUUUUUUUGUUAAUGUGGACCGUUCAGAGCAAGUUUCUUCAUAUGUUUUAAAGUCGAGAAGGAAGUUAUACCCACUUUAUACCGUACAAGUAUGUACUAUUACAGUGUAUUACUUGGAAUAUAAAACACAUCAGACAAC